rnacentral:rRNA from 1 species
GACGAACGCUGGCGGCGUGCUUAACACAUGCAAGUCGAACGGAAAGGCCCUGCUUUUGUGGGGUGCUCGAGUGGCGAACGGGUGAGUAACACGUGAGUAACCUGCCCUUGACUUUGGGAUAACUUCAGGAAACUGGGGCUAAUACCGGAUAGGAGCUCCUGCUGCAUGGUGGGGGUUGGAAAGUUUCGGCGGUUGGGGAUGGACUCGCGGCUUAUCAGCCUGUUGGUGGGGUAGUGGCUUACCAAGGCUUUGACGGGUAGCCGGCCUGAGAGGGUGACCGGCCACAUUGGGACUGAGAAACGGCCCAGACUCCUACGGGAGGCAGCAGUGGGGAAUAUUGCACAAUGGGCGGAAGCCUGAUGCAGCAACGCCGCGUGCGGGAUGACGGCCUUCGGGUUGCAAACCGCUUUCGCCUGUGACGAAGCGUGAGUGACGGUAAUGGGUAAAGAAGCACCGGCUAACUACGUG